rnacentral:rRNA from 1 species
GCGCAGCAGGCGAGAAACUUUACAAUGUGCGAAAGCACGAUAAGGGAACUCUGAGUGCCUCCUAAGGAGGCUGUUCAGGUGUCUAAAAGCACCUGAAGGAAGGGCUGGGUAAGACCGGUGCCAGCCGCCGCGGUAACACCGGCAGCCCAAGUGGUAGCCACGUUUAUUGGGUCUAAAGCGUCCGUAGCCGGCUGGGUAAGUUCCUUGGGAAAUUUGGCUGCUUAACAGUCAAGCUUUCAGGGAAUACUGCUCGGCUUGGGACCGGGAGAGGUCAGAGGUACUCCAGGGGUAGGGGUGAAAUCCAUUAAUCCUUGGGGGACCACCGGUAGCGAAGGCGUCUGACCAGACCGGGUCCGACGGUGAGGGACGAAGGCUAGGGGCGCGAACCGGAUUAGAUACCCGUGUAGU